rnacentral:rRNA from 1 species
AGAGCGAACGCUGGCGGCAGGCCUAACACAUGCAAGUCGAGCGCCCGUAGCAAUACGGGAGCGGCAGACGGGAUAGUAACACGUGGGAACGCGCCCUUCGGUUCGGAAUAACUCAGGGAAACUUGAGCUAAUACCGAAUACGCCCUUACGGGGAAAGAUUUAUUGCCGAAGGAACGGCCCGCGUCCGAUUAGCUAGUUGGUGAGGUAAUGGCUCACCAAGGCUACGAUCGGUAGCUGGUCUGAGAGGAUGACCAGCAUCACUGGGACUGAGACACGGCCCAGACUCCUACGGGAGGCAGCAGUGGGGAAUAUUGGACAAUGCCCGCAAGGGUGAUCCAGCCAUGCCGCGUGCAGGAAGAAGGCCCUAUGGGUUGUAAACUGCUUUUACACCGGAGAAAACCCCCUUUCGUGAAAGGGGCUGAUAGUAUGGUGAGAAUAAGCAUCGGCUAACUUCGUGCCAGCAGCCGC